rnacentral:rRNA from 1 species
CAGUAGCCGCGGUAAUACGUAGGUCCCGAGCGUUGUCCAGAUUUAUUGGGCGUAAAGGGAGCGCAGGCGGUUUAGUAAGUCUGAAGUUAAAGGCAUUGGCUCAACCAAUGUAUGCUUUGGAAACUGUUAGACUUGAGUGCAGAAGGGGAGAGUGGAAUUCCAUGUGUAGCGGUGAAAUGCGUAGAUAUAUGGAGGAACACCGGUGGCGAAAGCGGCUCUCUGGUCUGUCACUGACGCUGAGGCUCGAAAGCAUGGGUAGCGAACAGGAUUAGAUACCCCCGUAGUCCCUGUCUCUUAUACA